CACAGAUUAUAACACUGUUAGAGAGGUCAAACACACAGAUUAUAACACUGUUAGUUCAUAGAGAGGUCAAACACACAGAUUAUAACACUGUUAGAGAGGUCAAACACACAGAUUAUAACACUGUUAGAGAGGUCAAACACACAGAUUAUAACACUGUUAGUUCAUAGAGAGGUCAAACACACAGAUUAUAACACUGUUAGAGAGGUCAAACACACAGAUUAUAACACUGUUAGUUCAUAGAGAGGUCAAACACACAGAUUAUAACACUGUUAGAGAGGUCAAACACACAGAUUAUAACACUGUUAGUUCAUAGAGAGGUCAAACACACAGAUUAUAACACUGUUAGUUCAUAGAGAGGUCAAACACACAGAUUAUAACACUGUUAGAGAGGUCAAACACACAGAUUAUAACACUGUUAGUUCAUAGAGAGGUCAAACACACAGAUUAUAACACUGUUAGAGAGGUCAAACACACAGAUUAUAAC